AUGAAUGCUGGCGGCGUGCCUAAGGCAUGCAAGUCGAACGAAUCAUUUACGGUAGCAAUACUUUGAAUGGUUAGUGGCAAACGGGUGCGUAACACAUUGGUACUUGCCUCGUAGUCGGGCAUAACGUUUCGAAAGGAACGCUAAUUCCACGAUGGUCUCGCAAGAGUAAAGUCGCAAGACGCUACGAGAGAGGCCUAUGGCCUAUCAGCUAGUUGGUGAGGUAAUGGCUCACCAAGGCUAUAACGGGUAGGGGGUGUGAGAGCACGACCCCCCUCACUGGGACUGAGACACUGCCCAGACACCUACGGGUGGCUGCAGUCUGGAAUAUUCGGCAAUGGGCGAAAGCCUGACCGAGCGACGCCGCGUGCAGGAAUAAGGGCUUCGGUCCGUAAACUGCUUUUGUCAGGGACGAAUCAUGACGGUACCUGAAGAAUAAGAGGUUGCUAACUCUGU
rnacentral:rRNA from 1 species